rnacentral:rRNA from 1 species
AAAUGAAUAGACGGGGACCCGCACAAGCGGUGGAUGAUGUGGUUUAAUUCGAUGCAACGCGAAAAACCUUACCCACCUUUGACAUGUACGGAAGUUACCAGAGAUGGUUUCGUGCUCGAAAGAGAACCGUAACACAGGUGCUGCAUGGCUGUCGUCAGCUCGUGUCGUGAGAUGUUGGGUUAAGUCCCGCAACGAGCGCAACCCUUGUCAUUAGUUGCUACGAAAGGGCACUCUAAUGAGACUGCCGGUGACAAACCGGAGGAAGGUGGGGAUGACGUCAAGUCCUCAUGGCCCUUAUAGGUGGGGCUACACACGUCAUACAAUGGCUGGUACAGAGGGUUGCCAACCCGCGAGGGGGAGCUAAUCCCAUAAAACCAGUCGUAGUCCGGAUCGCAGUCUGCAACUCGACUGCGUGAAGUCGGAAUCGCUAGUAAUCGCGGAUCAGAAUGUCGCGGUGAAUACGUUCCCGGGUCUUGUACACACCGCCCGU